UACGGAGGGGGCUAGCGUUGUUCGGAAUUACUGGGCGUAAAGCGCGCGUAGGCGGCUUUGUAAGUUAGAUGUGAAAGCCCGGAGCUUAACUCCGGAACUGCCUUUAAGACUGCAUCGCUAGAAUUGUGGAGAGGUAAGUGGAAUUCCGAGUGUAGAGGUGAAAUUCGUAGAUAUUCGGAAGAACACCAGUGGCGAAGGCGACUUACUGGACACAUAUUGACGCUGAGGUGCGAAAGCGUGGGGAGAAAACAGG
rnacentral:rRNA from 1 species